rnacentral:rRNA from 1 species
AGAGUUUGAUCCUGGCUCAGGAUGAACGCUGGCGGCGUGCCUAAUACAUGCAAGUCGAGCGAACGGACGAGAAGCUUGCUUCUCUGAUGUUAGCGGCGGACGGGUGAGUAACACGUGGAUAACCUACCUAUAAGACUGGGAUAACUUCGGGAAACCGGAGCUAAUACCGGAUAAUAUUUUGAACCGCAUGGUUCAAAAGUGAAAGACGGUCUUGCUGUCACUUAUAGAUGGAUCCGCGCUGCAUUAGCUAGUUGGUAAGGUAACGGCUUACCAAGGCAACGAUGCAUAGCCGACCUGAGAGGGUGAUCGGCCACACUGGAACUGAGACACGGUCCAGACUCCUACGGGAGGCAGCAGUAGGGAAUCUUCCGCAAUGGGCGAAAGCCUGACGGAGCAACGCCGCGUGAGUGAUGAAGGUCUUCGGAUCGUAAAACUCUGUUAUUAGGGAAGAACAUAUGUGUAAGUAACUGUGCACAUCUUGACGGUACCUAAUCAGAAAGCCACGGCUAACUACGUGCCAGCAGCCGCGGUAAUACGUAGGUGGCAAGCGUUAUCCGGAAUUAUUGGGCGUAAAGCGCGCGUAGGCGGUUUUUUAAGUCUGAUGUGAAAGCCCACGGCUCAACCGUGGAGGGUCAUUGGAAACUGGAAAACUUGAGUGCAGAAGAGGAAAGUGGAAUUCCAUGUGUAGCGGUGAAAUGCGCAGAGAUAUGGAGGAACACCAGUGGCGAAGGCGACUUUCUGGUCUGUAACUGACGCUGAUGUGCGAAAGCGUGGGGAUCAAACAGGAUUAGAUACCCUGGUAGUCCACGCCGUAAACGAUGAGUGCUAAGUGUUAGGGGGUUUCCGCCCCUUAGUGCUGCAGCUAACGCAUUAAGCACUCCGCCUGGGGAGUACGACCGCAAGGUUGAAACUCAAAGGAAUUGACGGGGACCCGCACAAGCGGUGGAGCAUGUGGUUUAAUUCGAAGCAACGCGAAGAACCUUACCAAAUCUUGACAUCCUUUGACAACUCUAGAGAUAGAGCCUUCCCCUUCGGGGGACAAAGUGACAGGUGGUGCAUGGUUGUCGUCAGCUCGUGUCGUGAGAUGUUGGGUUAAGUCCCGCAACGAGCGCAACCCUUAAGCUUAGUUGCCAUCAUUAAGUUGGGCACUCUAAGUUGACUGCCGGUGACAAACCGGAGGAAGGUGGGGAUGACGUCAAAUCAUCAUGCCCCUUAUGAUUUGGGCUACACACGUGCUACAAUGGACAAUACAAAGGGCAGCGAAACCGCGAGGUCAAGCAAAUCCCAUAAAGUUGUUCUCAGUUCGGAUUGUAGUCUGCAACUCGACUACAUGAAGCUGGAAUCGCUAGUAAUCGUAGAUCAGCAUGCUACGGUGAAUACGUUCCCGGGUCUUGUACAC